CUAUUCAUUCAAAGAGUGCGUAAUAGCUCACUAGUCGAGUGACCCUGCGCCGAAAAUGUACCGGGGCUAAAACAUAUUACCGAAGCUGUGGAUACCUUUUAGGUAUGGUAGGAGAGCGUUCUAUGUGUGAAGAAGGUGUACCGUGAGGAGCGCUGGAACGCAUAGAAGUGAGAAUGCCGGUAUGAGUAGCGAAAGACAGGUGAGAAUCCUGUCCACCGUAUGACUAAGGUUUCCAGGGGAAGGCUCGUCCUCCCUGGGUUAGUCGGGACCUAAGGAGAGACCGAAAGGUGUAUCCGAUGGACAACAGGUUGAUAUUCCUGUACUAGAGUAUAUAGUGAUGGAGGGACGCAGUAGGCUAACUAAAGCGUGCGAUUGGAAGUGCACGUCUAAGCAGUGAGGUGUGAUAUGAGUCAAAUGCUUAUAUCUCUAACAUUGAGCUGUGAUGGGGAGCGAAGUUAAGUAGCGAAGUUAGUGAUGUCACACUGCCAAGAAAAGCUUCUAGCGUUAAUUAUACUCUACCCGUACCGCAAACCGACACAGGUAGUCGAGGCGAGUAGCCUCAGGUGAGCGAGAGAACUCUCGUUAAGGAACUCGGCAAAAUGGCCCCGUAACUUCGGGAGAAGGGGCGCUGACUGAUGGUCAGCCGCAGUGAAUAGGCCCAAGCAACUGUUUAUCAAAAACACAGCUCUCUGCUAAAUCGUAAGAUGAUGUAUAGGGGGUGACGCCUGCCCGGUGCUGGAAGGUUAAGAGGAGCGCUUAGCAUUAGCGAAGGUGUGAAUUGAAGCCCCAGUAAACGGCGGCCGUAACUAUAACGGUCCUAAGGUAGCGAAAUUCCUUGUCGGGUAAGUUCCGACCCGCACGAAAGGCGUAAUGAUUUGGGCACUGUCUCAACGAGAGACUCGGUGAAAUUUUAGUACCUGUGAAGAUGCAGGUUACCCGCGACAGGACGGAAAGACCCCAUGGAGCUUUACUGUAGUUUGAUAUUGAGUGUUUGUACCACAUGUACAGGAUAGGUAGGAGCCGAUGAGACCGGAACGCUAGUUUCGGAGGAGGCGCUGGUGGGAUACUACCCUUGUGUUAUGAACCCUCUAACCCGCACCACUAAUCGUGGUGGGAGACAGUGUCAGAUGGGCAGUUUGACUGGGGCGGUCGCCUCCUAAAAGGUAACGGAGGCGCCCAAAGGUUCCCUCAGAAUGGUUGGAAAUCAUUCGCAGAGUGUAAAGGUAUAAGGGAGCUUGACUGCGAGAGCUACAACUCGAGCAGGGACGAAAGUCGGGCUUAGUGAUCCGGUGGUUCCGCAUGGAAGGGCCAUCGCUCAACGGAUAAAAGCUACCCUGGGGAUAACAGGCUUAUCUCCCCCAAGAGUCCACAUCGACGGGGAGGUUUGGCACCUCGAUGU
rnacentral:rRNA from 1 species